GGGGACACCAGGGGUGGGACGGGGUGGGACACGGCCCGGGGGGCUCCCGGGGUGGGCUGCUGCUGGGGGAACCUCUCCAGGUUAAAGUUCUCCAGGGUAAAGUUCUCCAAAGUUGGGGUUUUUCAGGUUAAGGUUCUCCAAAGUUGGGGUUCUCCAGGGUAAAGUUUUCCAAAGUUGAGGUUCUUCAACUUGAGGUUCUCCAGGUUGAGGUUCUUCAAAGUUGAAGCUCUCCAAAGUUGGGGUUCUUCACAGUUGGGGUUCUCCACGUUAAAGUUCUCCAGAGCUGAGGUUCUCCAGGCUAAAGCUCUCUAAAAGUGACGUUCUUCAACUUGAGGUUCUGCAGGUUGAGGUUCUGCAGGUUGAGGUUCUGCAGGUUGAGGUUCUCCAAAGUUGGGGUUCUCUAGAAUCUUCAAAGUUGUUUCCUAAAGGUGAGGUUCUUCCAAAGUUGGGGUUCUCCAGGGUAAAGCUCUCCAAAGUUGGGGUUGUCCAGGUUAAAGUUCUCCAAAGUUGGGGUUCUUCAACUUGAGGUUCUCCAAAGUUGGGGUUCUUCACAGUUGGGGUUCUCCAGGGUAAAAUUCUCCAAAUUUGGGGUUCUCCAGGUUAAAGUUCUCUAAAAGUGAGGUUGUUCAACUUGAGGUUCUCCAAAGUUGGGGUUCUUCAACUUGAGCUUCUCCAGGUUGAGGUUCUUCACAGUUGGGCUGUUUCAAGUUGAAGUUCUCCAGGUUCAGGUUCCCCAGGUGUCCCCAGGUGUCCCCUCCCUGCCCAGGUGUGCCAGCCCUUACCUGUCCCGCAGAUCCAGCAGUUCUCCAAGGGUUGAGGUUCCCCAGGUGUGCC